rnacentral:rRNA from 1 species
CCUACGGGGGACUGCAGUGAGGAAUAUUGGUCAAUGGACGCAAGUCUGAACCAGCCAUGCCGCGUGCAGGAAGACGGCUCUAUGAGUUGUAAACUGCUUUUGUACGAGGGUAAACGCAGAUACGCGUAUCUGUCUGAAAGUAUCGUACGAAUAAGGAUCGGCUAACUCCGUGCCAGCAGCCGCGGUAAUACGGAGGAUUCAAGCGUUAUCCGGAUUUAUUGGGUUUAAAGGGUGCGUAGGCGGUCGGAUAAGUUAGAGGUGAAAUCCCGAGGCUCAACUUCGGAAUUGCCUCUGAUACUGUUCGGCUAGAGAGUAGUAGCGGUAGGCGGAAUGUAUGGUGUAGCGGUGAAAUGCUUAGAGAUCAUGCAGAACACCGAUUGCGAAGGCAGCUUACCAAGCUACUUCUGACGUUGAGGCACGAAAGCGUGGGUAGCAAACAGGAUUAGAUACCCGGGUAGUC